UGCAGUUAAAAAGCUCGUAGUCGGAUUUCAGUAUUAGGCCCUUCUCCCAAUACGGUUGUAAGUGGUCUUUACUUCCUUAACAGAAUCUUUCAUCUCAUUAAUUUGGGGUGUUUGGGGCCUGUUUCUUUUACUUUGAGAAAAUUAGAGUGUUCAAAGCGGGUUUUCGCCUGAAUAUUACUCUUGGAAUAAUAAUAUAGGACUUUGGUUCUUUUUUGUUGGUGACUUAGAACCGAAGUAAUGAUUGAUAGGGACAGUUGGGGUCAUUCGUACUAUGAAGCGAGAGGUGAAAUUCUUGGACCUUUGUAUGACGAACUACUGCGAAAGCAUUUGACUAGGAUGUUCCCGUUGAUCAAGAACGAAAGUUGGGGGAUCGAAGACGAUCAGAUACCGUCGUAGUCUCAACCAUAAACUAUGCCAGCUAGGGAUUGGAGGAAGAUCAUUUUACGUCUCCUUCAGCACCUUAUGAGAAAUCAAAGCAUCUGGGUUCCGGGGGGAGUAUGGUCGCAAGGCUGAAACUUAAAGGAAUUGACGGGAGGGCACCACCAGGAGUGGAGCCUGCGGCUUAAUUUGAU
rnacentral:rRNA from 1 species